UACGAAGGGGGCUAGCGUUGUUCGGAAUUACUGGGCGUAAAGCGCGCGCAGGCGGUCCUUUAAGUCAGGGGUGAAAGCCCAGAGCUCAACUCUGGAACUGCCUUUGAAACUAGAGGACUUUGGGUACGGGAGAGGUGAGUGGAAUUCCGAGUGUAGAGGUGAAAUUCGUAGAUAUUCGCAAGAACACCAGUGGCGAAGGCGGCUCACUGGCCCGGUACUGACGCUGAGGUGCGAAAGCGUGGGGAGCAAACAGG
rnacentral:rRNA from 1 species